UGGUUCCCGUGUGUCUUGUGUGUGUUUCCAGUACAUUCUUAAGGUGGUUCCUGCGUGUCCAGCUGGUGGCUACUGUGUAUCCGGGACCUGAUUCCGGCAUGUCCAGUUGGUGCUUUCAGAGUGUCCUGGCUUUGGUUCCGGCCUGUCUUGCAAUUAGUUCCCACAUGUCCGGUGGGUGAUUCUGGCGUGUCUGGCAGAUUUUCCAGCCUUUUCCAGAAAUUGGUUCUGGCAUAUCCAGGACCUGGUUCCGGUGUAUCCGGCAGGUGAUUUUGGCGUGUCCGGCAGGUUGUUCUGGCGUGUUAGGCUGGUGGUUCCAGCUUGUGUGGCAGGUGUUUGUGGCGUGUCCGGCACCUGGUUCUGGCGUAUUCAGCAGGUGGUUUCAGUGUAUUUGGCACCUGGUUCUGGCAUAUCCAACAGGUGGUUCCGAAGUGUCUGGCAGGUGGUUCCUGUGUGUCUGGCCUGUGGUUCUGGUACAUUUGGAAGAUGGUUCCGACGUGUCCGUUGGGUGCUUCUGGCAUGUGCAGGAGUUGGUUCUGGCGUUUCAGUGUCAUGGUUCCAGUGUGUCCGGCGGGUGGUUCCAGGUGGUCUGGCUUGUCAGGAGGGUGCUUACUGUGUGUCUGGCAGGUCAUUCAGGCAUGUCUGUGUGGUGGUUCCAGAGUGUCUGGUGGGUGGUUCCCACGUGUCUGUCGGGUUUUUCCGCCAUCUAAGGGGCCUGGUUCCAGCGUAUCCGGCAGGUGAUUUUGUCGUGUCCGGCAGGUGGUUCCAGCGAGUCAAGCACGUGGAUUUGGCAUGUUCGGCAGGUGGUUCAGGCAUGUCCAGCAGGUGGUUCAGGUCUGUCCGGGAGGUCAUUCCAGCAUGUCCGGCACAUGGUUCUGGCAUAUGUGAGAGGUGGUUCCGGCAUGCCCUGCGUGUGAUUCCAGAGUGUCCAUCAAGUGGUUCUGGCAUAUCCGGCAGGUGAUUUCGGCGUGUGAGUCAGGUGGUUCUGGCAUGUCCUGCAGGUGCUUCUGGCGCGUUCUGGACCUGAUUCUCGCAUCUGUGGUGGGUGGUUCCAGAGUGUCCAGAUGAUGGUUCCGAUGUGUCCAAAAGUUGGUUCCAGCCUGUCAGUCAGGUGGUUCUGCUGUGUCUGGAAUGUCAUUCCCUGUUGUCCUGCAUUUCGUUCUGGUAUGUAUGAUGAUUUGUUCCGGAGUGUCCAGAAUUUGGUUACAUCGUGUCCGGCUUGUGGUUCCGGCAUUUUAGUCACAUGGUUCCGUCAUGUCUGGAACAUGAUUCUGUCUUGUCUGACCUGUGGUUCCAGCGUGUCCGUUGACUGGAUCAGGGUUGUCUGUCGGCUUCUUACUUCCUGUUCAACAG
rnacentral:lncRNA from 1 species